rnacentral:rRNA from 1 species
AUUGAACGCUGGCGGCAGGCCUAACACAUGCAAGUCGAACGAGUGGCGGACGGGUGAGUAAUGUCUGGGAAACUGCCCGAUAGAGGGGGAUAACUACUGGAAACGGUAGCUAAUACCGCAUACUAUCGGAUGUACCCAUAUGGGAUUAGCUAGUAGGUGGGGUAAAGGCUCACCUAGGCGACGAUCCCUAGCUGGUCUGAGAGGAUGACCAGCCACACUGGAACUGAGACACGGCCCAGACUCCUACGGGAGGCAGCAGUGGGGAAUAUUGCACAAUGGGCGCAAGCCUGAUGCAGCCAUGCCGCGUGUAUGAAGAAGGCCUUCGGGUUGUAAAGUACUUUCAGCGGGGAGGCGUUACCCGCAGAAGAAGCACCGGCUAACUCCGUGCCAGCAGCCGCGGUAAUUC